AGCUUCUGGGAGAACAUCCUCUGGUCCCUGCUGAUCCAAAACUGAAGCUUUUGAUGUGACCUGACAAAAAGCUUCAGUUUUGGAUCAGCAGGGACCAGAGGACGUUCUCCCAGAAACU